UACGGAGGGUGCGAGCGUUGUCCGGAAUCACUGGGCGUAAAGAGCUCGUAGGCGGUUUGUUGCGUCGGCUGUGAAAUCCCGAGGCUCAACCUCGGGUCUGCAGUCGAUACGAGCAAACUAGAGUGUUGCAGGGGAGACUGGAAUUCCUGGUGUAGCGGUGAAAUGCGCAGAUAUCAGGAGGAACACCGGUGGCGAAGGCGGGUCUCUGGGCAACAACUGACGCUGGAGGAGCGAAAGCGUGGGGAGCGAACAGG
rnacentral:rRNA from 1 species